UACGUAGGGCGCAAGCGUUGUCCGGAAUUAUUGGGCGUAAAGAGCUCGUAGGUGGUUUGUUGCGUCUGCCGUGAAAACCCGAGGCUUAACCUCGUGGCUUGCGGUGGAUACGGGCAGACUUGAGGUAGGUAGGGGAGAAUGGAAUUCCCGGUGUAGCGGUGAAGUGCGCAGAUAUCGGGAGGAACACCGGUGGCGAAGGCGGUUCUCUGGGCCUUACCUGACGCUGAGGAGCGAAAGCGUGGGGAGCAAAAGGG
rnacentral:rRNA from 1 species